rnacentral:rRNA from 1 species
UGGGGAAUAUUGGACAAUGGGCGAAAGCCUGAUCCAGCCAUGCCGCGUGUGUGAAGAAGGUCUUCGGAUUGUAAAGCACUUUAAGUUGGGAGGAAGGGCAUUAACCUAAUACGUUAGUGUUUUGACGUUACCGACAGAAUAAGCACCGGCUAACUCUGUGCCAGCAGCCGCGGUAAUACAGAGGGUGCAAGCGUUAAUCGGAAUUACUGGGCGUAAAGCGCGCGUAGGUGGUUUGUUAAGUUGGAUGUGAAAUCCCCGUGCUCAACCUAGGAACUGCAUUCAAAACUGACUGACUAGAGUAUGGUAGAGGGUGGUGGAAUUUCCUGUGUAGCGGUGAAAUGCGUAGAUAUAGGAAGGAACACCAGUGGCGAAGGCGACCACCUGGACUAAUACUGACACUAAGGUGCGAAAGCGUGGGGAGCAAACA